rnacentral:RNase_P_RNA from 1 species
AGACGAUCGCGGGCGCCAGGGGCGCACGAGGAAAGUCCGGACUCCACAGGGCAGGAUGCUGGCUAACGGCCAGGCGGGGUGACCCGACGGAAAGUGCCGCAGAAAAGAAGACUCUCACCGGCCUCGCGCCAGGAGAAAAGCUGAAACGGUGGUGUAAGAGACCACCAGCGUCGCGGCAACGCGGCGGCUUGGCAAACCCCAUCCGGAGCAAGCGCAAAUAGGGACGCUCGAGGCUGGCCCGGCCUGCGUCCGGGUUGCGCGCUAGAGGGCGGCAGCAAUGCCGUCCGUAGAUAAAUGACCGUCCACGACAGAACCCGGCUUAUCGGCCCACUU